GUGGGAGAUGCGAACCAAGAAAGCUCGAGAACCGAAAGUCUAAGUCAGUACUGUUUGUUCCAAACCACGAUUGGAUGCAUCUCGCAGCUCCCGUGGUAAAAUUUAUUUUUUAUUUUGCUGAAACAUACAGAAAAUUAUACAGUGCAUAGAGCUAGCUCCAGAAGCAAGUAAAUCUUUGCGAACUUUUACCAACAGUUCGUAAAGGCCAUACACAUUGCCGUUCGCAUCGCUUGCAGGCAUAGUGUUUUCCAGUUUAUGGUAAAAGCAUUCUCGGUGUAACGCGUGUGCUUGGAAAACUAAGCCCCGGUCGAGGUUGUGUGAUCUUGCGAUCGAACACGAAUUGGCUGGUGGAAAAGAAGUAAUAGAAAUUAGGAGAGAAAAAGAACGUGCAGGCUACGUGGCGUAGUGGUGUGUUCAUUUCUAAGGUUACGUGUGUUAGUACAUUUCUUUCUUGUAUAUCAGCAUCAUCCAACGUUAGUGUGUACCUCACAUACUAAUACAACGGUGAACGCAACAAAGAAGUAGAAAAUAAAACAACUUAGUGCUUGUCGUACCGGAAGCAACUGAACGAACCACAGUAA